rnacentral:rRNA from 1 species
GACGAACGCUGGCGGCGUGCCUAACACAUGCAAGUCGAGCGGUCCGGCACUCAACUAAGUGCUUACUUAAGGGGAAGGAAGUAUAGUAGAAGAAGAAAGUAAUAAAAGUGGUGCAAAGUAAGGUAAGCACGGAGUUGAGUGCCGGAUAGCGGCGGACGGGUGAGUAACGCGUGGGCAACCUACCCUUAAGACCGGGAUAACACCUCGAAAGGGGUGCUAAUACUGGAUAAGCUCCUUGUAGGGCAUCCUAUGGGGAGGGAAGGUAGCGGAAGCUACCGCUUAAGGAUGGGCCCGCGUCCCAUCAGCUAGUUGGUAGGGUAACGGCCUACCAAGGCGACGACGGGUAGCCGGCCUGAGAGGGUGGUCGGCCACACUGGGACUGAGACACGGCCCAGACUCCUACGGGAGGCAGCAGUGGGGAAUCUUGCGCAAUGGGCGAAAGCCUGACGCAGCGACGCCGCGUGAGCGAAGAAGGCCUUCGGGUCGUAAGACUCGAUAGUGUGGGAAGGAAGUAGAUGACGGUACCACACGAAACGG